rnacentral:rRNA from 1 species
GGAGGAAAAGAAACUAACUAGGAUUCCCCUAGUAGCUGCGAGCGAACAGGGAAGAGCCCAGCACCGAAUCCCGCGGCCGAUACCGGACGCCGGGAAAUGUGGUGUUCGGGAGGGUCCAUUAUCCCGAGAUUUAACGGCGAGUCCAAGUCCUUCUUGAACGGGGCCACAGCCCAUAGAGGGUGCCAGGCCCGUAGCGACCGCUGCCGAUCGCGGGAGGAUCUCUCCUUAGAGUCGGGUUGCUUGAGAGUGCAGCCCUAAGCGGGUGGUAAACUCCAUCUAAGGCUAAAUAUGACCACGAGACCGAUAGCGAACAAGUACCGUGAGGGAAAGUUGAAAAGCACUUUGAAGAGAGAGUUCAAGAGUACGUGAAACCGUUUAGGGGUAAACCUGAGAAACCCGAAAGGUCGAAGGGAGAAAUUCAUUCGCGUUUCGAGUUCGGCGUGAGACGAUCGACGCGACGGGUCGGCUUUCGAGCCUUCCCGCGCCUUUCGUUUUUCGAUCCGAUCGCGAACGCGUGCACUUUUCUCCUGGUAGGACGUCGCGAUCCGUUGAGCGUCGGUCUACGACUUGCGGUGGAGCCCGUUCGCGUCUCGUACGCUAGCGGACCCGCUCGUUCCGGCCGACUAGCUCGACGGUAUAAAGAAAGGUUUUAGGCCGCUCCUACUGCGAGCGUUCGACUCUCGGCAAGCUCGUCGGCUAGUAUCGAUUCUCGGACCCGGUGCCGAUUUUGAUCUCCGAUCGACUGUUGGCCGAGAUGUUCUCGAACAGACCUAUCGAACCGAUCGGCGACGCUAUAGCUUUGGGUACUUUCAGGACCCGUCUUGAAACACGGACCAAGGAGUCUAGCAUGUACGCGAGUCAUUGGGAAUCACACUAAACCUAAAGGCGUAAUGAAAGUAAAGAUCCGCCUCGCGCGGAUCGAGGGAAGACGGGCGGUUUACCCUUAAAAGUAGCCGCUCCGCAUUCCCGGGGCGUCUCGUUCUCAUCGCGAGAAGAGGCGCACCAAGAGCGUACACGCUGGGACCCGAAAGAUGGUGAACUAUGCCUGGUCAGGACGAAGUCAGGGGAAACCCUGAUGGAGGUCCGUAGCGAUUCUGACGUGCAAAUCGAUCGUCGGAACUGGGUAUAGGGGCGAAAGACUAAUCGAACCAUCUAGUAGCUGGUUCCCUCCGAAGUUUCCCUCAGGAUAGCUGGCGCUCGUCGCGCCGAGUCUCAUCCGGUAAAGCGAAUGAUUAGAGGCAUUGGGGUCGAAACGACCUCAACCUAUUCUCAAACUUUAAAUGGGUGAGAUCUCCGGCUUGCUCGAAUAUCGAUGAAGCCGCGAGACACGGAUCAGAGUGCCAAGUGGGCCAUUUUUGGUAAGCAGAACUGGCGCUGUGGGAUGAACCAAACGUCGAGUUAAAGCGCCUAAAUCGACGCUUAUGGGAUACCAUGAAAGGCGUUGGUAACUUAAGACAGCAGGACGGUGGCCAUGGAAGUCGGAAUCCGCCAAGGAGUGUGUAACAACUCACCUGCCGAAGUUACUAGCCCUGAAAAUGGAUGGCGCUGAAGCGUCGUGCUUAUACUCGACCGUCAGCGGCAUGUGCGAUCGUCUUCGCGGACGAUCAUGAAGCUCUGACGAGUAGGAGGGUCGCGGCGGUGCGCGCAGAAGGGCUGGCCGCGAGGCCGUCUGGAGCCGCCGUCGGUGCAGAUCUUGGUGGUAGUAGCAAAUACUCCAGCGAGGCCCUGGAGGACUGACGUGGAGAAGGGUUUCGUGUGAACAGCCGUUGCACACGAGUCAGUCGAUCCUAAGCCCUAGGCGAAAGCCGAUGUUAAUGCGGUGUAGAUUUAUUAACGAAUGACCGGAAAUUUAACGAANAAUUCGAAUAAUUCACGUACACACCCAUCGGGCGAAAGGGAAUCCGGUUCCUAUUCCGGAACCUGGCAGCGGAACCGUC